CACGGGAGCAAUCCUGGUGGCGAGUGGCGAACGGGUGAGUAAUAUAUCGGAACGUGCCCAGUCGUGGGGGAUAACGCAGCGAAAGCUGUGCUAAUACCGCAUACGAUCUACGGAUGAAAGCGGGGGACUCAGCAAUGAGCCUCGCGCGAUUGGAGCGGCCGAUAUCAGAUUAGCUAGUUGGUGGGGUAAAAGCCCACCAAGGCGACGAUCUGUAGCUGGUCUGAGAGGACGACCAGCCACACUGGAACUGAGACACGGUCCAGACUCCUACGGGAGGCAGCAGUGGGGAAUUUUGGACAAUGGGCGAAAGCCUGAUCCAGCAAUGCCGCGUGCAGGAUGAAGGCCUUCGGGUUGUAAACUGCUUUUGUACGGAACGAAAAGGUCUGCCCUAAUACGGCGGGCUCAUGACGGUACCGUAAGAAUAAGCACCGGCUAACUACGUACCAGCAGCCGCGGUAAUACGUAGGGUGCGAGCGUUAAUCGGAAUUACUGGGCGUAAAGCGUGCGCAGGCGGUUAUAUAAGACAGAUGUGAAAUCCCCGGGCUCAACCUGGGACCUGCAUUUGUGACUGUAUAGCUAGAGUACGGUAGAGGGGGAUGGAAUUCCGCGUGUAGCAGUGAAAUGCGUAGAUAUGCGGAGGAACACCGAUGGCGAAGGCAAUCCCCUGGACCUGUACUGACGCUCAUGCACGAGAGGGUGGGGAGCAAACAGGAUUAGAUACCCUGGUAGUCCACGCCCUAAACGAUGUCAACUGGUUGUUGGGUCUUCACUGACUCAGUAACGAAGCUAACGCGUGAAGUUGACCGCCUGGGGAGUACGGCCGCAAGGUUGAAACUCAAAGGAAUUGACGGGGACCCGCACAAGCGGUGGAUGAUGUGGUUUAAUUCGAUGCAACGCGAAAACCUUACCCACCCUUGACAUGUAUGGAAGUCGCAGAGAUGGCUUCGUGCUCGAAGAGAGCCAUACACAGUGCUGCAUGCUGUCGUCAGCUCGUGUCGUGAGAUGUGGGUAGUCCCGCACGAGCGCACCCUUAUCAUAGUGCUACGCA
rnacentral:rRNA from 1 species